rnacentral:rRNA from 1 species
CCUACGGGAGGCAGCAGUGGGGAAUCUUGCGCAAUGGGCGAAAGCCUGACGCAGCAACGCCGCGUGCGGGAAGAAGGCUUUCGGGCUGUAAACCGCUUUCAGCAGGAACGAAAAUGACGGUACCUGCAGAAGAAGGAGCGGCCAACUAUGUGCCAGCAGCCGCGGUGAUACAUAGGCUUCAAGCGUUGUCCGGAUUUAUUGGGCGUAAAGAGUUCGUAGGCGGUCGAGUAAGUCGGGUGUGAAAAUUCUGGGCUCAACCCAGAGACGCCACCCGAUACUGCUUGACUUGAGUUCGAUAGGGGAGUGGGGAAUUCCUAGUGUAGCGGUGAAAUGCGCAGAUAUUAGGAGGAACACCGGUGGCGAAGGCGCCACUCUGGAUCGAUACUGACGCUGAGGAACGAAAGCAUGGGUAGCAAACAGGGAUUAGAUACCCUGGUAGUCCAUGCCGUAAACGGUGGGCACUAGGUGUGGGUUUCUAUUAACGAAAUCCGCGCCGUCGCUAACGCAUUAAGUGCCCCGCCUGGGGAGUACGGUCGCAAGCUAAAACUCAAAGUNAGUCGCGNGNGAGAGCGCGACGACGACGACGAGGAGAG